rnacentral:lncRNA from 1 species
ACAGGUAAAAAAGCUGGUUAGCAAGCAAACAAAAUGCAGAAAAAGGCAAUAGAGGGAAGGCUGUCACCUUAAUGCAGAAGCAUUCUAGAGUCAGUGAAUGACCUCCCUGACUGGCACGAGUGGACGAAGAACCUGGACAGGAGAGGCUUAACCUCUUCUCUUUGCUCCUUUUGGAUGGCCUGCCUGUGGAGAGGUGCUUCUUGCUUGUGUCUUCCCCUCAUGAGAAGCUUAAGGGAGAAGACAUCAUUCCUGCAGCAUAGGUCUGAAGUUAGGGAGCAAGUUCAAUCAAACUGAGAGAAUUGCUCCACAUGCAGCUGAAAAUUCAGUGUGUCCGUGGGAGGAGGUAAGGUGACAAGUCUCCUGUGUCACUAUCUUAAACCAGAACCUCUGUCAUGUUCCUUUUGAGGGUUUUCAUUUACUACUUUUAAAUUCAGCAACUAUCUCCUUAAGGCAUGCCCUGACUCUUCAAGUACUUGGCAUAUUCUUGAAGGAUAGGGAGCUUGUUGUGUAUUGCUUUUACCAUUUCUUUUUUUUUAAAUAUCACUUAGUGAAGUGGUAUUGAAAUAUACUGGAGAUGAAUGUAAGUGAACGUAAAUAGUGAAAUGGGUGAAAAUGUAUUUUAUCAGAGAUCCCAUUUGGUAAAAUGUGGAAUAGUGGAGGUAGCAGAGAUUUCUAAAGCAGAAAGAACUAAAAGGAAAGUUGAAACAGAUUUUAAUUUUUAUGUUGAUGAAUGAUGAAAAGUAUAUAAGUGGAACUAAAUAAAAUAAAUGCAAUCAAUACAUAGUAUUAUAAUACUAGUUCUAAUGCAUUAUAUUUAUUGUAGUAGUGAUUCAGUAUAUGAGAAUCUCUUUACUAUUAAGGCUUUCAAGGAUUGGUUUAUACCCACAUUAAACAUUCUAUAGAUUUGAAUGUAAUUGCUUUCAGGGAUAAUACAAAUGUAAAGUAAAUAAAUUUUUAGAAUAAUUUAAUUAUAGUUCAUGAGUAUUGAUUUUUGUGGGACACAAUCUCAAGGAUAUUCUGAGGAAAAUAAGAUCUUAUAAAAUAGGUGAAACAAAUAUAGAAAAGUCUAGUACUUUAAAUCAAUAUCGAUCACUAUAUUAAAACUGAAUUGAUUGAGAACACAUUAAAUAUAUUAAAAGACUGGACAUUAGUUAAGUGCUGGCAUACCAGGAGGAAUUAAAGAUCUCAUUAAACUAUAGCCUUUUCUUAUAUCUUAAGCUGUCUAUUAUAAUAUUAGAGAAAAAAAUUUAUAUAGGAACAAACAACCCCAAACUUCUCAUCCACUUACCUAGUAAAUAAACAACAAAACAAACAAAUAUCUCCAUUGAAUUUUUCUGUUUUGAACAUGGGGACUUAAGGGAUAUUUAGUGAAUAAAUAGGAAAAGCAGGUGGUAGUUAAACAUAUAGUGAGGAAAUAGUGCAUGAAAUUAGGGUUUCACAUAGAUAAUCUGUGUAAUAUGGCUAUGACUUUCCUACAAAGUGAGAAGAAAAAUUUUUCAGGUGAAUUUUCAGAUCUAUAAUUUAAACCUCAUCAUAUUAAUAUAUUUUCCUCCACACUUGGGCUGCUUUUACGUCCCUCUGACUGAGGAUUGUUAUGGCUUCAAGUUUGAAAUAUUGUAAAUAUUGCAGUUUUGUGCUUUUAAGUUCCAUAGCUACAAAUAUGUUCAGAGUGCUUUUUCAUUAUGGGAUAAGUUUGUUGAGAAUUUUCUAAAUGCUUAAUCAUAGCUCAGGCAACUUAGGGGAUUUUGGAGAAAAGGAAGAAGGAAAUACAGAUAAAUCUGGAUAAAGAGGAAGCAUGGAAUUAAAAUUUUUAGGGGCCAAAAACUUAACAAAAGGGGACAUUUAAUCUCAGAUGAUUUUGGAGAGAUUCUAGAAACUUUACAUUUGCAAGCAACACCUAUCUUAGCUAUCUUAGCACAGAGUAUUGUGAACUGGCACAAUCUGACAACAUAGCCCUAGAAUUUUAGGGUGUUUCAUGCCACAAUUCCUUUUAUAAAUGUGAAAUAUGAAGAUCUUUUUAGAGUUACAAAACUAUUAGUGUCAGGGCUCUCAAUUCUCUGUUCCAGUGCUUCUUUCUCUUUCUUUUUUCUUUUUUUUUUUUUUUUUUUGGCAUAGGAAUAAUGUUCUUUGUCCUAGCAUAACAAUUUGAGUGAAUGGCAUUUGACUUGAGAUAUCUAUUCACAUUCAUCAAAUAUUUUCGUGGAGGCUUUUAUAAAUUACUUCUAUACACUUGACUUAAUGCAUUGUCUGUAAAAAUUAACAUAAUGUUUGCCUUCUACCACCCUCUAAAAUGAUUAUAAAGAUUAAUGGGGAAAUGGCUUCCCAAAAUACUGAUAUCUCAACUGCAAAAUGAGGAGGUUGGUUGAACCAGGUGAUAUCAAUUGUCAUUUCCAGCUCUGAAAGGGACCCACAGUUACCAGAUGAGACCCCUCUCUUCUCCCUUACUUAUCUUUGUUGAUUUAUUCUUUCAAAUUCAGUGGGGUUAGCUUCCUACUUAUUGCUCUGGUUGGGGAUAGGUACAACUUUUGGAUACCCCCCCACCCCGCCAACCCCGCAGUCACCUAUGCAUGCCACUAUCAUUUUCCUUACUAAGCAAGUCAGUCUUCCUCCAUUUGAAUGAAGUCUUUGAUGUUGGAGUCUGUUUAAUUUACUCCUGUAAACCAAAUGCCUAGCACAGCACAUGGAACUUAGUGGAAUCAAAGCAAAUAUUUGUCAAAUCAAAGAAAAACCUAAGAUGUUCUUAGUUCCUAGGAUGCCAGUGAUGAUGGACUAGCACUGAGUCCUCAGUGGUCAGUGUUUGGGAGGCUCUAGAUUUUUUAGGUGCAUUUUAAGUGUAGGACAGCUUCUCUAAUCCUAGUUUCUUACCCUGGUGAAAAUAGGUUCUGUUUACAAUCACUCACCACUGUAAUCAGUUGUUUGUAUCUGGAGAUAAAUAUGGAACUAUAAAGAGAAGGGAAAUGUGAUCAAAGAUAACAGAAGAAGAAAGGAAGGUGAACUCAGGGUAAGACUUUAUAUGAACUGAAUCUGUAAUCACCAUUGCAGUGAAUGUCAUGGUAAUUAUUUGCCAUCAGAAUGUUACAUGUUAUUGAGAUAUUCUUUUUUUGUGUGUGGGCACAAUGAAAACAUAUUUGUUCUGGAAAACAUGUUAAAGACCCAAAUAGUACAUAUUUUAGUCAGUUCUCUGAUAAAUGAGGAAAUAAAACACUUAUUUGACUUGAUGGCAUUUUAAGAUAUUAUAUUAAUGACAUUUUAAAAAUAAUCAUUUUAAAAUUAAUGCCCAGUGGAGAAAGGAAUUGAAGGAAUUAAAAGUGAAAAUUUUGUUUUAAAAAUACUGUUUUCUAGGGUUUAAAUUUUGAAAAGAUGAUAAAAUCAAUGCAUAAAAUUGAAGAUUUGAUAUAAAUUAUAAAGACUUAUCUCUUCAUUGACUAGAAAACUAAUUUAUUAGAGUCCUGAUCAGACUGUACCACAGAGGAAGGAAAAUUUUUGUGGCAUCAUGUGGGAGUUGGACAUGGUGACCUUUAAUGCCCCUUCCAUCCAGAGAGUCUGUAAGUGGAUGAAAACACAGUGAUGAGAAAUGUGCUAAGGACACACCCAAUGCCCUCUGUUUUAAAAAUGAAUAUUUUAAAUGGCAAUAUGCUGUUUGUUUUCAAUUUCUCCAACUUUUAUCAUUAAAAAUAUCCUUGUUACCAUUUCUCAUUCAAGCUCCUAAUGACAGUCUGUGACCUUUUUCUGGGAAAAAAAAAAAAAAGGCAGUCUGUCUGAAUUCUUGUUACAAAGAAGCAAUGCAAAUGAAAGAGGUUCCAAUUUCCCAGAAGCUGCUAAAUGACACCUUCCAACUAUAACCCGCUGGUCUCCAGAGGGUAAUUAAAUUGCAGAUGGGGAAUAUAUAUGUGAUUUAUUUUUAGAACAGGUUCGAGAAAAUAAAAUAUACCUGACAUUUAAGUUUUUAGGUUUGUAGGGGAAUUAUUAGUAUAGUUGGUUAUGACUUUAGAUUUUCACUGUGUGUUAAGAGAUUUCAAUCAGUGAUAGUGCAGUUCACUCUAAUGGAAUCUUAAUGGCAAAUUAGAGAAAUGUAGUAGAAACUAUCCUGGAAUUGCAACAAUAGUUUGCUACACUAAGCACAGAUAUAGAUAUUAUGGCCCAUUUAUGAAGUGUCCUUAAGCUUUUUUAGUUGUGUGUGCACAUUCACAAAUAGCAGUAGGAAACUGAUCAGGAUAGAGGAAGUCAUUCCAAACUUUGAAAAUGGGCAGUUGAGAGCCAUCCUUAUGUGAACUAGUUUCUACUACCUCUUUUUUUUUUUUUUUUUUUUUUUUUUUUUUAGUAAUUUUACUGAUUUGUGUUAAUGUCGAGAUAUUGCAUACAUUAAAUGAUCUUUCAGAAAGGUUUAAAAUGUUUAAUAUAUGAACUUGGGAUUUUAGCAUUUUCUUCUUUUUUGAGUGUAGAUGGGAAAGUAUUUGGUUAAUGUGCCAGCUUUAGCUCAUCAAAUAUGAAACCUUUAUUGCUUUUCUCUUAGAUGUGUGGGAAGAUAUAAUGUAAAUUUGGAAGCAAGUUAGCAAGUUGUUAUUUUACCAAAUUCAUUAAUUUUUUUUCCCUUUAUAAGUUGCCUAGGGGAUAUGAGGAAGGGGAUUUAGGAAAACAGGAGUUUGCAAUUUAAGGAAACAGCUUAAGGAUAGCAGCUUGGAAAACUUAAGUGGGUGACUGCUUUGCAAGCUACAGACCACCAAGUCAAAUAUUGUCUUUGGGAAAGGGAACUGUGUUUUCUUUCAAGCAAAUCUAAAAAUAUUUAGAUAUAUUUUAUCCGAGAUAAAUUUAAAAACUGAGCAUUCUUCAUUUUGAGUUUAAGAAGAACAGAACUCUGCAUGUGAAAUUCUUUUUGUGGGAAAUGAGUCAAUUAGAUAAUUAUGGGUGGAAUGUGAAAGGAGAAAGUUAGGAAAAUCUUAAUAUGUUAGGCUUUUUUUUUUGUUAAUAGAUAAUGGGAAUGAGUGAGAAUUGAAAUCUAAUAUUCAGUUACAAUGAGCCCAAGACAACCCAGUUUAGCAGCCUGCAGCAACACUGGCUCCUUAACCUAUUGAGAGAGGCCAGGGAUUGAGCCUGCAUCCUCACAGAGACAACAUCUUGUGCCUAACCCACUGAGCCACAGUGGGGACUCCUAAGACCUGAACAUUUCUGACCCGAGGUUAGAAUCAGAAGGAAAGGGUGCAUUAGAGAAGAUGGUGGCACUGGGAGACUCCUAAUUUAAUGCCAAGUGUUCCUGAUAGGGGAAAAUUCACAUUGUUAGAAUUGUGAUAGAAAUGUCCAAAAAUAUACCAAAUAAGCUAUGUAAACUGUGAAACAUCAAUUUACUUUGUGGUAGAGUGAAAAAUCACAAAUUUUCCAUCUAGCUAAUUGAGAGAUCUACCUCUAUCACAUUAAAUUAUCUCUUCCUUCUCCUUUCUUUGAAUUAUUUUUUUCAUGCUACAUCUAUGUCCUCCCAAUUGUGAAUGUCCAAAUGAAGUUACUUCUGUUGUUACUUCUGUUAUUGCUGCUCUAGCUCCUAAAAGGAAUUCCGCACUUCCUCUGUGGCUAGUGUGAACUAAUGACAUGAAUUAAGUUCUUUGAUGCUCACAAAAACCUGUGAAGUCAGUAGUUUCACUAAUCUCCUUUCAUAUGUGAGAAGACUAAGGCUUAGAAGAACUUGAGGCAAGCAGUUCAACUGCUUACCCCAUGCUUACCCCACCUCUUAAUUUCUAUUCUAUAACGUCUUUUUUUUAAAUAAAUUUUUAUUGGAGUAUAGGUGACUUGCAAUGUUGUGUUAGUUUCAUGUGAAUAGCAAAGUGAAAUAACCAUACCUAUAUAUCCUAUAUAUCCAUUAUUUUUUAGAUUCUUUCCCCAUCUAGGCUAUCACAGAGUGCUGAAUAGAUUUCCCUAAUAUAUAUAUAUAUCCUUGCUACUGGUUGAUUUUGUAUAUAGUAGUGUGUGUAUGCCAAUCCCAACCUCUCCGUCCAUCCCUCCCCUCAAUGUUGCCCUUAUGGUAACCAUAAGUUUGGUUUCGAAUUCUUUGAGUCUGUUUCUGUUUUGUGAAUAAGGUAUAUCAUUUUUUGUUAGAUUCCACAUAUUAGUGAUCUCAUGUAAUAUUUGUCUUUCUCUGUUUUACUUCACUUAGUAUGAUAAUCUCUACUAUAAUGUUUUGAAUGUUAAGGAUCCAUUUGCCUUGAGGGUUUUAGAGGAUUAGAAGCUCUUCUCUCAGAGUUCCCAUUGUGGGGGAGUGGGUUAAGUGUCUGACUGCAGUGUCUUGGGUGUCUGCAAAGGUGUGGGUUUGAUGCCUGGCCCAGCACAGUGGGUUAAAGGAUCUGGUGUUGCCACGGCUGCAGUGUAGGUCACAGCUGUGGCUUGGAUUCAGUCCCUGGCCUGGGAACUUCCAUAUGCUACAGCUGCAGACAAAAAAAAAAAAAAAAA